UUGGGCAGAGGGUGUGUUCCUCUUUGUCACCCGCCGGGAACCCUCGCGCCGCGCGUGGGCGAGCGGCGGGCACCCGGCGGCAUCCGCGCCAGCGGCCACCUCCCCGGCCCGCAACCGGCCUCAGGGGCCGAGAUUGCGGCCCGAGGUCCGGAAGCGGCGUCCAGCGCUGUCAGCGGGCGGAGUUCCUGUUUUAGUUGGCUUCUCUUCAUUGGAAGAAACAGAUUCACUCAAGUGACUUCAAGAAGAAUAGAGUUUAUUAUGAGGAUGCAGGUAAAAGAGCAUUUGUGGGGCCGGGCUCGGUGUCUCACACCUGUAAUCCCAGCACUUUGGGAGGCCAAGGCAGGUGGAUCACAAGGUCAGGAGUUCAAGACCAGCCUGGCCAAUAAGGUCUGAGCUCCCCUCGGAGCUACCUAGGCAUGCGACAGACCCCAAACAACACUGCAGCCUUUGAAAACUGAAAGGAGACAGGAAUCACUAUCCACAGAAAGCCAGACAGAACUUCCAGAAUGUCAGGCCUCUGAGCCCAAGCCAAGCCAAGCCAUCGCAUCCCCUGUGACUUGCAUGUACACAUCCAGAUGGCCUGAAGUAACUGAAGACACAAAAGAAGUAAAAAUAGCCUUAACUGAUGACAUUCCACCAUUGUGAUUUGUUUCUGCCCCACCCUAACUGAUCAAUGUACUUUGUAAUCUCCCCCACCCUUAAGAAGGUACUUGGUAAUCAAUCUCCCCCACCCUUAAGAAGGUUCUUUGUAAUUCUCCCCACCCUUGAGAAUGUAUUUUGUGAGAUCCACCCCUGCCUGCAAAACAUUGGUCUUAACUUCACCGCCUAUCCCAAAACCUGUAAGAACUAAUGAUAAUCCACCACCCUUUGCUGACUCUCUUUUCGGACUCAGCCCACCUGCACCCAGGUGAUUAAAAGCUUUUAUUGCUCACACAAAGCCUGUUUGGUGGUCCCUUCACAUGGAUGCGCAUGAAACAGAGAACAUGCAAGAAUGGCAACCAUGCUGUCAAGGGUUCCAACACCUCUCUGGC
rnacentral:lncRNA from 10 species